rnacentral:rRNA from 1 species
AUGGCGCAGCUGCCGCCCAAGAUCCCCGCCAUGGCGCCGGCCUGGCCGGAGUUCGGGGGCGGGCACCACCACGGCGCCCACGCCCGCCACCACCAUCACCAGCGCAGCCCCUCCAUGGGCGCCUUCCUCGCCGCGCCAAUGCCGCCGCUCCCGCCCCCGGCGCCCGCCGGCGGGGGCGCGGCGCAGCAGCAGCCGUCCUGGGUCGACGAGUUCCUCGACUUCUCGGCCGCCAAGCGCGGCGCGCACCGCCGCACGGUCAGCGAUUCCGUCGCCUUCCUCGACGACAGCAAUGCCGGCGUCGGCGCGCACGAGUUCGACCGCCUCGACGACGACCAGCUCAUGUCCAUGUUCUCCGACGAGCUGGCCCCGCAGCGGCAGGCCGCGAGCGCGUCGUCGCCGUCCGACCACAACAGCGUCAACGACGAGAAGCAGGACAAGGGCGACGCCGAGGAGGCGCAGAGCGACUGCAAUGGCGACGGCGCGGCGCCCGGGCAGCCGUCCUCGCCCGCCACGGUCGAUCCCAAGCGGGUCAAGAGGAUCAUUGCAAACCGGCAGUCGGCGCAGCGGUCGCGCGUGCGCAAGCUGCACUACAUCUCGGAGCUCGAGCGCAGCGUCACGUCGCUCCAGACGGAGGUGUCGGCAUUGUCCCCGCGCGUGGCAUUCCUCGACCACCAACGCUCGCUGCUGACGCUGGGGAACAGCCACCUCAAGCAGCGCAUCGCGGCGCUCGCGCAGGACAAGAUCUUCAAAGAUGCUCAUCAGGAUGCACUGAAGAAGGAGAUAGAGAGGCUGAGGCAAGUCUACCAGCAGCAGAGCCUCAGGAACGCGGAACCCCCGGCACACGACGACGGCCCCCUGGUCCGCGGCGACAACAGCAACGGCUUGAUCGCCAGCGAGGGGACCGCCGCGCCCUCGUGA